rnacentral:rRNA from 1 species
UGGGGAAUAUUCGGCAAUGGGCGCAAGCCUGACCGAGCCAUGCCGCGUGAGUGACGAAGGCCUUAGGGUUGUAAAGCUCUUUUGGCGGGGAUGAUAAUGACAGUACCCGCAGAAUAAGCCACGGCUAACUUCGUGCCAGCAGCCGCGGUAAUACGAAGGGGGCUAGCGUUGUUCGGAAUCACUGGGCGUAAAGCGCACGUAGGCGGAUAAUUAAGUCAGGGGUGAAAUCCCGGGGCUCAACCGCGGAACUGCCUUUGAUACUGGUUAUCUAGAGUCCGAGAGAGGUUAGUGUAAUUCCUAGUGUAGAGGUGAAAUUCGUAGAUAUUAGGAAGAACACCAGUGGCGAAGGCGGCUAACUGGCUCGGUACUGACGCUGAGGUGCGAAAGCGUGGGGAGCAAACAGGAUUAGAUACCCCUGUAGUCC